UACGUAGGGUCCGAGCGUUGUCCGGAAUUACUGGGCGUAAAGAGCUCGUAGGUGGUUUGUCGCGUUGUUCGUGAAAACUCACAGCUCAACUGUGGGCGUGCGGGCGAUACGGGCAGACUAGAGUACUGCAGGGGAGACUGGAAUUCCUGGUGUAGCGGUGGAAUGCGCAGAUAUCAGGAGGAACACCGGUGGCGAAGGCGGGUCUCUGGGCAGUAACUGACGCUGAGGAGCGAAAGCGAGGGGAGCAAACGGG
rnacentral:rRNA from 1 species